AGAUAUUGUUAUGUGCGCAGUUUGUUGAUUUAGUGUUGCUAUAAAAAUUAUUUAAGGCGUUCGAUAUUGUGUGUGCGGCCUGGUUUAACCCCGCCCCAGCCCCCCCAAAAAAAACAAAACAAAACAAAACAGCAAGACAAGUUCACGGUGUUUUCCGGAAGUACAAGAAUGAGCCAUUCUUGCCUACAUAAAUUAAACAAGGCAGCUCAUGAGUGUGUUUCUAUGUCUGGUAUGUGCAUGUACUGCAGCAGCAAGGGUUGUCGGUCGAGCUCCAGCGCUCUCAACUCAAAGGUCCCCGAAGAACGCCGAUGGUUACAAAAGCUUGUCGAAUGGACCAUGUACUUUAUGCUCAUCAACUUGAAAAUUCCCCCGCUGCAAUCUCCAGCGUGUCCAAUGUUUUCUGCCCGAAGGCACAAUUCUCUUGUCAUCGUUGCACACGCGGGGGCCUUGUUUCCUUGUUUCGCUGUGAUGUCAUUGUUUUGCAAAACAAAAGGUCUUGCCAUCUAUUACGGCACCGAA